ACGAGUUAGGGCCUCUGGCCCGAUCUCCAACCCUUUGUUUCCAAAACCUCGUUGCCUCGGGGGUGGCCCUGCCUUCGGCGGGUCCCCCGGAGGACCACUACAACUCUGCAUUUUAAUGUCGUCUGAGUAAGAUUUUAAUGAAAUCA
rnacentral:misc_RNA from 1 species